UCCCAUUUCGGCCUGGCCUCCUUUCGGCCCACGCCUCCCUCUCUUUCUCUUCUUGGACCAAGGCCCAGCCGAGGCAACCGCCGGCCCACUCCUCUCUCUCCCAUCUCACUCACCGCCAGGCGGGGCCCGACUGUCAGCUUCUCCCCUCUCCUCCCACAACCGCUCCCUCUCUCUUUCUGUUCUCAGCAGAACCGACGCCGAGCCCUCGAUCCCCACCACUUCUUGCCCCGCGCCUCGGCUAUGCGUCCACGC
rnacentral:lncRNA from 1 species